ACCCAAACCCCUAUCCCUUCUAGCCCAACCUUAGGGGUAACAACCUAAACCCCUAUCCCUUCUAGCCCAACCUUAGGGGUAACAACCUAAACCCCUAUCCCUUCUAGCCCAACCUUAGGGGUAACAACCUAAACCCUUAUCCCUUCUAGCCCAACCUUAGGGGUAACAACCUAAACCCCUAUCCCUUCUAGCCCAACCUUAGGGGUAACAACCUAAACCCCUAUCCCUUCUAGCCCAACCUUAGGGGUAACAACCUAAACCCCUAUCCCUUCCUCCCACACACUAAAGGAUCUAGUGCAUGCUUUAACUUGUUUAUGUCUUGUAUUAUGUUCUUUGUUUUUCACAUGUUACUCUAUCUCUUGUUAUUUUAAUGAUAUGCAUCUUUAUAGGCUUUUUUUGUUGUUUGUACAUUUGCACAUUCUUACGCUAUCCCAACUAUUUCCGUUACUUUUUGUAUUGACAUACGGUGCUAACAAAAAGAAAACAAAGAAAAAGAAAGAAAAAACAAAACAGAAGAAGAAGAGGAGUAAUGUAAAAGAGAAGGAGGAAGGUGUGGAUGUUGAGUUGGAUUAUACAUUCUAUAUAUAGAUAUAUAAACAAUAGAUGUGUAUAUAUACAAAUUUAAGUAUUCAUCAGCAUAUACUAAGUAGUUCCACUUUAUUUUCAAGCUUUAUUUUUUUAUUCUUUUUCAAUAUAUUUUCCAGAUAUUAUUUUCUUUUGAUAUUUCAUCAAUAAGUGUUUGUUUUUUUUCAUUCCUCAACCCCGAGACAACCUGUUCUGUUGUCAUAGGUCAAAGUUGAAACAGCUAGGUGACCUCAGGUCUAGAUAUCCCCAGCAGCAAAAACAAAGAGAUUAUGGCUUGAAUCCUAACUUGAGAUCUGCGUCCCGAAAUACAUUUUUCACAGUUCUGAUUUGAUUUUAAUGCACAGAUUUCAUGUUAGCGUUCAGCCCAUAUAGAGAAACAAGGAAACUAUAGCAUUUCUUCAUUCCCUCUGUUCUAGAACGGUUCUAGGACUUCUCCCCAAUGAUUUCAGAAUGGAUUGUGCAUCCUGUAUUCUAGAAGGUUAUUCCAGACUGUACAGUGUGAGCAGACCAGUUGAGGCAUCAUCCUGUAUUCCAGAAGGUUAUUCCAGACUGUACAGUGUGAGCAGACUAGUUGAGGCAUCAUCCUGUAUUCCAGAAGGUUAUUCCAGACUGUACAGUGUGAGCAGACCAGUUGAGGCAUCAUCCUGUAUUCUAUUCCAGUUGCCAAGUAUUGUUUCUGGUUACUUUUCCAUGAUCAUUGCCAACAGCUCUCUACUGCCAAACAUUUACAUUACCAUGUGCCUGAGGGGGGAGAGAGACUGUCAUACGGUUUCAUCAAAGAGGUGGGCAAACGUGUCAAGGGAACACGGGUCUCAUUGCGCCUCCAGUGUGUAUGUGUGGGAGUGUGUAUGUGUGUGACUGUGUAUGUGUGGGACUGUGUAUGUGUGGGACUGUGUAUGUGGGAGUGUGUAUGUGUGGGAGUGUGUAUGUGUGUGACUGUGUAUGUGGGAGUGUGUAUGUGUGGGACUGUGUAUGUGUGUGACUGUGUAUGUGUGGGACUGUGUAUGUGUGGGAGUGUGUAUGUGUGGGAGUGUGUAUGUGUGGGAGUGUGUAUGUGUGGGAGUGUGUAUGUGUGGGACUGUGUAUGUGUGGGACUGUGUAUGUGUGGGAGUGUGUAUGUGUGGGAGUGUCGAUGGUAUGUUUUGUUUUUGUGCAUGUGUUUGUCUUAAAGGGUGUAUCUCCAGAGAUUACAUCUACAAACUUUGAUUGCCUUGCGUUGUAGACUACAGCAUUCCAGUACAGUCUGUGUGAGUGUGUUGCUUCUUAGCCAAGUCUUUCUGCAGUAUCUGAGCUUUUCAGCUUCUUGUGUUAUUAUUCAGCCUUCUCUGUUACAGUCCUCCAUAGUGUUAUAAUAUACGGCUGUCUCAAAUGACACCCUAUUUUUGUAUACGGGGAAUAGUGACAUUUUAGAUGAAAUCUGUGUUCUAAAUGACACCCUAUUCCAUAAAGUGCACUACCUAUGGGCCCUGGUCAACAGUGGUGCACUGUAUAGGGAAUGCCAUUUGGGAUGCAGAUAGUGUCAUAGCCUCCUGUUUUACAGAAGCAGUCUGAUGUACUGUCAAAUUGUGUCAAGGUAAGCAUGUUCUGGCCUAUUUGUGAUACCUUGCCUUCAGAGUACAGCAGAGUGGUGUAGUGUCAAAAAGUGGUGCCCGUUGGCAAAAUGUACCCCUUUCCAGGCCCGAAAACAUUUCUAACCUGUUCUGUGAUAAUGGUCUGAGUCUGAAGGUACCCCAACACAUACGCUUGACUGUUGCCAUAACAACCCUUGACAUGGGUGUGGCAAAGUGCACCUGUAUUCACAAGGCGUCUCAGAGUAAGUGCCUCGCGAAAAACAGAAGCCUUUGAAACCAUAAUGAAUACGAGCGGGGACCUGAUCCUAGAACACCACUCCUACUGAGACGCUAUGUGAAAGAGGAAGGUAGCAUUGUUGUGGUAGUAUUUUCGUUUGUGGCUGUACAGAACGCGUUCCGGAUUGCCUGUGCCGGGUUUUCCGUACCUGGAAGCCUUGGCUCCAGCGCAUUUUGCCGAGGGAUCAGAGAGGGAGUUCGACAGAGACCAGAGUUCGCCAGGUUGGGAUCUGUCAAACACUUAUAAACCUGUCCUCUCCCCGCAGAGAUGCAGGUCACUAUGGUUACAGUUUAAAUACACAGUUUAACAGGGAGCCUGACAGUAUUACACAGCGGGGAUGUGAGGAGUACAGUACAAGCGUGUGUGAGGGGGACUAUUCAGAUAUACUGUGUACAGUGAAUGUAUUGUAAUGUGUGUCAAGUGUGUUUAAAUUAUAUUUUCAUAUGUUAAGUGGAGAACAAUGUUUCCUAUUUGUACGGAGGCAACAGAGGGUGUGAGGAGGGAGACCUGUGUACUUUAUCAAACUGUUUUUACAUAAGCUGCUGCUUCAUAAAUGUGAACACUAUUACAUGAAAAAAUAAAGACAACAUUAGCCAGAACUGUCUGAAUGGGGUUGGGGGGGGUUUGACCCAGAAGAUGGAAAGACAAUUGUAUCCAUUUGACAAGCGUACUUUAUUUGUAAUGCUCACAUACAAACCUACACACACACUUUCAAAGGGCCGACACACAUGACAGACACACGUGUGCAACUUUUGAAGCCAAAAGUACAGCACUGUGGUCACAUUGAAAGAACAGUAAAAUCUCAGACUGACAGGAAUCAGAGACGCGCGCACAAGAAUUUACUUUGACC
rnacentral:lncRNA from 1 species